UACGUAGGGUGCAAGCGUUAAUCGGAAUUACUGGGCGUAAAGCGUGCGCAGGCGGCUUUGCAAGACAGAUGUGAAAUCCCCGGGCUUAACCUGGGAACUGCAUUUGUGACUGCAUGGCUGGAGUGCGGCAGAGGGGGAUGGAAUUCCGCGUGUAGCAGUGAAAUGCGUAAAUAUGCGGAGGAACACCGAUGGCGAAGGCAAUCCCCUGGGCCUGCACUGACGCUCAUGCACGAAAGCGUGGGGAGCAAACAGG
rnacentral:rRNA from 1 species